rnacentral:rRNA from 1 species
UACAGAGGGUGCAAGCGUUGUUCGGAAUUAUUGGGCGUAAAGCGCGCGCAGGCGGUCUUCCAAGUCAGUGGUGAAAGCCCGGAGCUCAACUCCGGAACUGCCAUUGAAACUGUAAGACUUGAGGAUGAGAGAGGUGAGUGGAAUUCCCAGUGUAGAGGUGAAAUUCGUAGAUAUUGGGAAGAACACCGGUGGCGAAGGCGGCUCACUGGCUCAUAUCUGACGCUCAGGCGCGACAGCGUGGGGAUCAAACAGG